AAGCUAUUUGGCUAUUGGUCUUUUAACUGUGAUUCAAAGAUUCAUGUACAUCUCAAGAUAAAAUAUGAAGCUAUAACUCUUAUGCAUGCUCAGGUUUGGUGUAAGUGCUUACGUUCAACUUCUCAACGAGUUAACAUCUUGGAAGAAAAUUAUGAAGAAUCAAAAAAGAGCUAGCGCAUGUACAUGUGAUUCUUUAAAUUGAUUCCUUUGAGCUGUUAGCUGCUUGAUCAUGUCGUCGUGAUUUUUCCUCAGGUUUCAGCAGCUCAGUCAUCUUUUGACAAAGAGAUCGCGCAAGGAAAAGAGAAGCAAACUCACCACAAUUCCAGUAAACAUGCAGAAUUGAAGGAUGAGAUAAA